rnacentral:lncRNA from 10 species
UUCACAGUGUGCCUGCUGUGUCAGGCUCAGUGCUAAGCUUGGAGGAGGGAAAAGCAAGAAGGCACAUUUCCUGGCCUUAGGAGGAUCAGAGUCCAAGUGCUUUAGGAACUCAGCUGAAUGAGAGACAGCAUCUAAUUGGGAACCAGAAAAGAGUUCUGGGAGGUCUUAGAAGACUGGUAAAAUUCAACACAUGGACAUGGGGGACCAUCCAAGGACCAGGACCCAAAGUCACAAGUCAAGGCUCCGCCCCUCUGGAAAGGCCUUUCUGAGGAAGUAGCAUUUGAAGGAUUUCAACCAAGUUGAGAACAGGAAGAAGAGUCUUCCAGGGUGAAGAAACAGCAGACUCCACUCCGAGACAGAAGAGGCUGCAUUAUUGAUUACAGCGUGUGCAUCCUGCUUAGCUCUCUACUACACCCUGUGGGGUGUGGAAAUGCAGGAGGAGGGAACAGCCAGGAAAUCCGGAAAACACUACCCCAUCCUCACAGAAUAGUUCUCCAAAUAGCAGCAUCAACGUUUAAUCUACGCCAGAAAACCUCUGGCAUUUCCCCCCAAUGAGAUCUACCAGCUUGGACUAAAUGGAUGUAAAUUAACUGUAUGAGUGACUGAGACAUGAGCUGUGUGACCUUAGGCAAGUCACUUCCCCUCUCUGGGCCCUGGGUUUCUAUCUUUGAAAUGAGAAGUUGGGCUUGAAUAUCUCCAAGGGCCUUUCCAGCUUCAGCAUUGGAGGAUAUUUGAUUCUAUCAAGAGACAAUCAUAUCAGAUGGUCACUGGACAAGCUCCUGCAGGACCAAGGCUUACCCCAAGCUGCCGAGGAGCCUAGCCCCCCAUACACCUUCUCCAUGUGUUUGAUGUGGUAUGAAGUAGCAUACUGGUAAAUGUUUAACAACUGGCUCUCCAGUGGAAAAGCUCUGAUUUAUAGUGUUUUCCAAUAUCUGUGGUGUAAAUACUCCCACUAUGGUGAAUGUCAACCUACCAACAUGAUGUCACUGAAUACAGAGUCGGGAAAAGAUGCACAUAAUUGGCUCUCAGGAGCUGGCACUCCUACCAACUGCAGUGCACCACUCAUGGUUUGUGUUGGGAGUUAACUGGCAAGUGGCCCCCCGUCUCUUCUCCAUUUCUCCUAGACAAAAGACUUUGAGCAGGAGUCAAC